UCAAUAUUCGAUAUGGUGUGAUAAAAUAUAUCGUUUCACAACACCGCUAUAUAACAAAAUAAAAAUAAUACUAUCGACAUCACGCCACGCUACGGCCCCACUUUUAUCUGUCGACUGACACAGUAUAUAAAGGCAUCCGAGAUCUCGAUUCCGGCAUAACACAUCUUUUUGUGCGAAUUUAUUCUUUGGUAAGUACGAAACGAAAGUAAUAGUUUUAUUUUGAUAUCGAAUUAAUAACAAUUGUAUUUCUAUUUGCAGUUUUCACUUUAAUCCUCAAAAACCAAACAACAAAUCAAAAAUGGGCGCUGAAAAAGUAACCAUGAACAUCGUUGUCGUCGGACAAGUCCAAUCUGCCAAGGCCAUCAAAUCGAUCGCCAAAGCCACCCCAGCCACCAGCCAAUUGAUGAACUGUUAAUUCAUGUAUUCAAUUAAUUACACACUCAAAAAUGCCAUAGCCUAAACAAUACAAUAAUAUGUAAUUCAUAUCAGUAUUGACACCAUAAAAUAAAUCAGUCUUUUCCGAAAUACA